rnacentral:rRNA from 1 species
UACGUAGGGUGCAAGCGUUGUCCGGAAUCACUGGGCGUAAAGGGCGCGUAGGUGGCGCCGCAAGUCCAUGGUGAAAGCUCGAUGCUCAACAUCGAGUCGGCCACGGAGACUGCGGGGCUCGAGCACUGUAGGGGCAGAUGGAAUUCCGGGUGUAGCGGUGGAAUGCGUAGAGAUCCGGAAGAACACCGGUGGCGAAGGCGGUCUGCUGGGCAGUUGCUGACACUGAGGCGCGACAGCGUGGGGAGCAAACAGG